rnacentral:rRNA from 1 species
GACGAACGCUGGCGGCGUGCUUAACACAUGCAAGUCGAACGGAAAGGCCCUGCUUUUGUGGGGUGCUCGAGUGGCGAACGGGUGAGUAACACGUGAGUAACCUGCCCUUGACUCUGGGAUAACUUCAGGAAACUGGGGCUAAUACCGGAUAGGAGCUCCUGCUGCAUGGUGGGGGUUGGAAAGUUUCGGCGGUUGGGGAUGGACUCGCGGCUUAUCAGCUUGUUGGUGGGGUAGUGGCUUACCAAGGCUUUGACGGGUAGCCGGCCUGAGAGGGUGACCGGCGACAUUGGGACUGAGAGACGGCCCAGACUCCUACGGGAGGCAGCGGUGGGGAAUAUUGCACAAUGGGCGGAAGCCUGAUGCAGCAACGCCGCGUGCGGGAUGACGGCCUUCGGGUGGUAAACCGCUUUCGCCUGUGACGAAGCGUGAGUGACGGUAAUGGGUAAAGAAGCACCGGCUAACUACGUG